rnacentral:rRNA from 1 species
AGAGUUUGAUCAUGGCUCAGAUUGAACGCUGGCGGUAUGCUUAACACAUGCAAGUCGAACGGUAACAGUCCCUCACCUAGAAAUUUCUUAAAAAGAGAUUUGUAGGUGAGGGAGCUGACGAGUGGCGGACGGGUGCGUAAUGUAUAGGAAUCUUCCUGGUAGUGGGGGACAACUCGGAGAAAUUCGAGCUAAUACCGCAUAAGCCCUACGGGGGAAAACGGGGGAUCUUCGGACCUCGUGCUAUUAGAUGAGCCUAUAUUAGAUUAGCUUGUUGGUGAGGUAAUGGCUUACCAAGGCGACGAUCUAUAGCUGGUCUGAGAGGAUGAUCAGCCACACUGGGACUGAGACACGGCCCAGACUCCUACGGGAGGCAGCAGUAGGGAGUAUUGGACAAUGGGCGCAAGCCUGAUCCAGCAAUGCCGCGUGUGUGAAGAAGGCCUGCGGGUUGUAAAGCACUUUCAAUUGGGAAGAAAGAUUAUGAGUUAAUACCUUAUAAUAUUGACG